GACGUAGGGGGCCAGCGUUGCUCGGAAUUACUGGGCGUAAAGGGUCCGUAGGCGGUGCGGUAAGUCGGGAGUGAAAUCUCUGGGCUUAACUCAGAGGCUGCUUCCGAAACUACCGUGCUAGAGUGCGAGAGAGGCAAGUGGAAUUCCGGGUGGAGUGGUGAAAUGCGUAGAGAUCCGGAGGAACACCAAAGGCGAAGGCAGUGUCCUGGGGAGUACCUGACGCUCAGGUGCGAAAGCCAGGGGAGCGAACGGG
rnacentral:rRNA from 1 species